rnacentral:misc_RNA from 1 species
UUUAAAUUAUUUAUAUCCAAAAAGGGAUUGAUGAUGAUGUUUUUGAAAUCUCAUAGAUGGCGCUGCUUUAAAAUUGUCUUGAUACUACUUAUAUUCAUUUAAUUAUGUUUAUCGGCCUAAAAAAACGGCCUAAGUUACAUAUAUUGCGCGAUUUUUAUAGUGUUAAGUUAGCUUAUAGCAUGGUUAUCAACAUAAUAACAACAACAUUCAAAUAUGCGUCGUUAGAUUACUCGUUGUUACAGAAUGCGUUGAAGAAAUAAAGGUUCACUGCUCGUUCCCCGUAGGUGAUAGCGUGAUAAUAUGUAUCCUAUAUGUUGACCCGACUUCUUAAUAAUAUUUGUGCCAAAUUUGAAGUAAAUCCAU